rnacentral:rRNA from 1 species
UACGGAGGGUGCAAGCGUUAUCCGGAAUCAUUGGGUUUAAAGGGUCCGCAGGCGGGAGAAUAAGUCAGUGGUGAAAUCUCACAGCUCAACUGUGAAACUGCCAUUGAUACUGUUCUUCUUGAAUUCGAUCGAAGUGGGCGGAAUGUGACAUGUAGCGGUGAAAUGCUUAGAUAUGUCACAGAACACCGAUAGCGAAGGCAGCUCACUAGGUCUGGAUUGACGCUCAGGGACGAAAGCGUGGGGAGCAAGCAGG